rnacentral:rRNA from 1 species
CCUACGGGAGGCUGCAGUAGGGAAUCUUUCACAAUGGGCGAAAGCCUGAUGGAGCAACGCCGCGUGCAGGAUGAAGGCCUUCGGGUUGUAAACUGCUUUUAUAAGCGAGAAAUAUGAUGGUAACUUAUGAAUAAGGAUCGGCUAACUACGUGCCAGCAGCCGCGGUCAUACGUAGGAUCCGAGCAUUAUCCGGAGUGACUGGGUGUAAAGAGUUGCGUGGGGGGCAUAAUAAGUAGCUAGUGGAAUCUGGUGGCUCAACCAUUCAGACUAUUAGCUAAACUGUUAAGCUCGAGACCGUGAGGGGUAACUGGAAUUGCGAGUGUAGGAGUGAAAUCCGUAGAUAUUAGGAGGAACACCAAUAGCGUAGGCAGGUUGCUGGGACGGUUCUGACACUGAGGCACGAAAGCGUAGGGAGCAAACGGGAUUAGAUACCCUGGUAGUC